GGAUCUUUAGCUCAGCUGGUCAGAGCACUCGGCUCAUAACCGAUUGGUCGUAGGUUCAAGUCCUACAAGAUCCACCA
rnacentral:tRNA from 4 species